rnacentral:rRNA from 1 species
AGUCGUAACAAGGUUUUUGCAUAUGAACCURCAGAAUGAUCAUU